CAAUAGCGUAUAUUAAAGUUGUUGCAGUUAAAAAGCUCGUAGUUGAAACUUGGGCCUGGCUGGCGGGUCCGCCUCACCGCGUGCACUCGUCCGGCCGGGCCUUCCUUCUGAAGAACCUCAUGCCCUUCACUGGGCGUGCUGGGGAAUCAGGACUUUUACUUUGAAAAAAUUAGAGUGUUCAAAGCAGGCCUUUGCUCGAAUACGUUAGCAUGGAAUAAUAAAAUAGGACGUGCGGUUCUAUUUUGUUGGUUUUUGGAAUCGCCGUAAUGAUUAAUAGGGACAGUCGGGGGCAUUAGUACUCACAUGCUAGAGGUGAAAUUCUUGGAUUUUGUGAAGACUAACUUCUGCGAAANCANNNGACAAGGAUGUUUUCAUNAA
rnacentral:rRNA from 1 species